rnacentral:rRNA from 1 species
GACGUAGGUGGCAAGCGUUAUCCGGAUUUACUGGGCGUAAAGCGUGUGCAGGCUGUGUGCCAAGUGGUGUAUGAAAGCGCCCGGCUCAACCGGGCAAUGGUAUGCCAGACUGGCAGACUGGAGUCUGAGAGAGGGGGGUGGAAUUCCGGGUGUAGUGGUGAAAUGCGUAGAGAUCCGGAGGAACCCCAGAGGCGAAGGCGGCCCCCUGGCUCAGCACUGACGCUCAGACACGACAGCAUGGGGAGCGAACGGG